rnacentral:tRNA from 1 species
GAUCCCUUAGCUCAGUGGAAGAGCAUCUGCUUAACACGCAGAAGGUCGCAGGAUCAAAGCCUGCAGGGAUCA